rnacentral:rRNA from 1 species
UACGUAGGGACCAAGCGUUGUUCGGAUUUACUGGGCGUAAAGGGCGCGUAGGCGGCAAUUCAAGUCAUCUGUGAAAUCUCCGGGCUUAACUCGGAAUGGUCAGGUGAUACUGCUUUGCUAGAGUGCAGAAGGGGCAAUCGGAAUUCUUGGUGUAGCGGUGAAAUGCGUAGAUAUCAAGAGGAACACCUGAGGUGAAGACGGGUUGCUGGGCUGACACUGACGCUGAGGCGCGAAAGCGUGGGGGAGCAAACAGG